rnacentral:rRNA from 1 species
UACGUAGGGGGCUAGCGUUGUCCGGAAUCAUUGGGCGUAAAGAGCGUGUAGGCGGCCCGGUAAGUCCGCUGUGAAAGCCGGGGGCUCAACCCUCGAAUGCCGGUGGAUACUGUCGGGCUAGAGUGCGGAAGAGGCGAGUGGAAUUCCUGGUGUAGCGGUGAAAUGCGCAGAUAUCAGGAGGAACACCAGUUGCGAAGGCAGCUCGCUGGGCCGUAACUGACGCUGAGACGCGAAAGCGUGGGGAGCAAACAGG